GCCAAAUGCAUGCAAGAUGAUAGAUAUGAGAAAAUAUUGUGUGAUAUAGACUCAGAUUUUUCUUAUAUUACAAUUGAAGCUUGGUUUUCAUCUAUAAAUAGAUUGUGAAACAAUGGUUUUCCAUCAUCAGAAUCCUUUGAACUCUAGAAAGGGAGAAAAGAUGGUGAGGAAGGAGAUGUUGGUCAUUGUCCUGGCCUGGGUCAUGAUCGCAGCAUUAUUCGUGGUCAGCUCAAAAGCUGCUAGCUCUCAGACCGCUGAGUACGUGGUCCAUCCUCAAGGUUGUCGCUGCUGUUUUUUUAUUAUGAAGCCGGUAAUCAGCUGUGGCAAGGUGUGCUGUGGCGACGGAUGUUGUUAGCCAUCACUAAGUCACUUAGAUUAAAAGAGAAUAAAGAAAUAAACCCCCCCUCUGUCUAAAAUCCAGACUACUGUCAUGUUCAGGUAUUGAGAGGAGCUUUUUAAUACCCGGUUUUUGGAGACUUUGUUCUUCAAGAGUAAUAAGAAAACGCUACCUUUUGGGAUGUGUUAUGUAAGGAAUAAUGUUUGAAUUUUGAUGUCAGGUUUGGGUCUUGCCUCAAGCCAAAUUUCCUUAAUAAAGAAGGGAUCAAGCUA